UACGUAGGGUGCAAGCGUUGUCCGGAAUUAUUGGGCGUAAAGAGCUCGUAGGCGGUUCGUCGCGUCGGCUGUGAAAACCCGGAGCUCAACUCCGGGCCUGCAGUCGAUACGGGCGGACUUGAGUGUUGCAGGGGAGACUGGAAUUCCCGGUGUAGCGGUGAAAUGCGCAGAUAUCAGGAGGAACACCGAUGGCGAAGGCAGGUCUCUGGGCAUUAACUGACGCUGAGGAGCGAAAGCAUGGGGAGCGAACAGG
rnacentral:rRNA from 1 species